CCUCUCGCCCCGGCGCAGGCGCCGCCGUGGGCCCGCGGCGGAGGGCUGCUCGCCCCGGGACGGCGGCUCCAUGCGCUGCCAGGUCUCGGUGCUGUAUUUCGCCAGGAGCGCGGAGCUGGCGGGGCUGCGCUGCGAGACCCUCUCGGUGCCACGGGAGAUCACCUCUCUGCAGCUCUGGGAGGAGAUCGUCAAGGUCCACCCCAGGCUUGCUGUCAUCCGGGAUCAAGUGGUGUUUGCUGUUCGGCAGGAGUACGUGCUUCUUGGAGAUCAGCUCCUGGUCCUGCAGCCUGGAGACGAGGUUGCCAUCAUCCCACCAAUUAGUGGAGGCUGAACCUGCCCAGGUUCUGUUAGUCUCACAGAUGUGCUUCCUGAUCAAUGGUGGUCCUCCAUACUGCACUGUGGAUCCUUUCUGAACCUCCUCUUUCUCCCAUGGGCCCUUUCCUUGAAGGACUUGCUUACAAGGACUCCAAUGAAAACACACAUGACAUAUUUUCUUCUUUCUCACUGCUGAAGACUCCAGUCCUUUCAAGAUGUGGAGUAUCAGCUUCCUAGUCCUUUCAGAAGUCUCUGGAAAGACAUUGCUACAUCUUCUCCUAGAAACUCAGGAAAUUAUCCCUAGAAAGACUUAACUUCAGCAAAACAAUACUUUUUUUCUCAACUCUUGUAUUUCAAGGGAUUACUUCUUGGCUGCAUCACCUGCCUCAGAAAGAACUAAUUCCAGGUUGCAAUCAUCUUACUAGAACUUUGUGCUGAGCUUGGAAGGAGGAAUACAGGCCAGAGAGUACAGGUCACCUCUACCACUAACUUCUCUAAGUCUUUUUUUUACAGAAUUUUUACAGAACUUUUGCAGAUAUAUCAACACAGUCUUAGAGCUGGAAGAAAUGAAACUUUCUGUAAGAAAAUCUGCCAUACAUAAUAGUUUGUUUACUACUUUCCAGAAUAUUGGCUUGUCAUCAUCCUUGAUUCAAAGGCAAAUUCACAGACCAGAGCCAAUUAUCAAUCCUUAGAGAAGAAUUUAUUAAAAAGUACUGUCUUUUGUAAAAAACAUUCCUACUAGACAUUUACCAUUCAUGAAUUGUGCUACCAAAAAAAAACCCACAACAAACCCUCAAAACAAGACCUCCAAAAAGACCCAUAUAUACUCAGUUUAUUUUUUUCUUCCUGCCUUGAAGCAGGCACAUUUUUGGUCCAAACCUCACUUGCAGGCUGAAGUGCUUCUAAGCAAAAGAGCUUCUAAAGCAAAAGAAAAUUCUAGCUCCAGUGUGGUCUUUUGGCAGGACUGAAAUUAACAAUCUUGCUGCACAACAGGAUGGGGAGGUAGAGGGGCACCCCCAGUGCUGUGUGCAGUACUUUUGCCAAUUCAUUGUUCAGAAUAAUGCUGUUGUUGGGCAGGAAUGAAUGCUAUCCCUCCUCUCCCUUCAGUACAGGGAUUGCUCUGGAUUUCACCCCCAGGAUUAUCACGCACCUCUCCAGUAGGAGCCUGACCAUAUAAGUCAAGCACUGAAAUCUGCAUUUCAUCCUUUGUGAAUUGGGAGCAACAAUUUGAAUUAUAGGUAUACUGCAUUCCCCAAAAUAGUAUGCAUAUUUCCUCUCUUUUGCUUUCUCUAAGAUAAAAUUUGUUGGAAGAAGAGCUUUUGGUAUAGCCAUCAUGUCAAUCUGAUUAACUGUGUAGCUGGAACACAUGGCCUUGGCAGUAACACUAUUUCUAGAUCCAAAGUCUGUGUUUUAAGGACUCAUCAUCAAUACUGCACAUCUGAUUUAUCAAAUACAAAUUCCCUAUGGCAUAGCAACUGCUUCAGGCAUUCUGCUGGGAGUUAAGCAGAUGCAGGUGCCAAGGCCUAAAGUGAGGAAAAGAUGUCUGAGGUGAGGUCAAACUCGAAAAGUUGCCAGCUUUUAUGCUGAGUUGGAAAUAUCUCUCCUUGACCUAAAUAAACUGAUCUGCUGGGGGAAUAAUUCUGGUAUCCAAGAAAACAAAUUGUGAGAGAGUUUUGCAUGCACAUUCUUUUCUGGAAUAGGCACUGCUAGAAAGGAAAAAAGAAAAUUCCUCUGAGAAGUUCAAAA